ensembl:lncRNA
AUGCAAGUAGCUACCGCCCGCUCACGAGACUAUAGCCUAUACUUUCGGUUUUGAUUUUUUUUUAAUGUCGUCGAACACGCAAUGGUUUACAAAGUUUUGACAUCUGAACAUUAGACCCCCGCAGAACUUUCUCCAUGUUUUCAAAUCUUCUGCGGCUGCUGUUCUGCUUUAUCUGUUACAGUGGAACCCCUCGUGCAGGAACUAAACUUGUACAUGUGACAGGAAAAAAGGGAGACAGCGUCAUCCUGCCGUGUGAAUUUAAGGCCACACAGAUUUCUCAUUAUCAUUUAAGCAGUUGGUCAAAAACGAUCUAUGUUUGUCAGAAUGAAGAAUGUGAAAGUGAAAAUGGCCGAGUAUUUAAACAAGGAAACUGUGACGUCGUCAUCAAGGAUCUGAGCUUCAGUGACGCAGGGAAAUAUGUUUUGAGAGUCAAUUACAAUAAUGCUCAGUCAAUGCUGGAGCGACUGACCCUGGAGUACUAUCUUCAUAUUCAGGAUGAGAUUUCUGUGAAAAUGGGUGAGGAGCUGAAGCUUGAUGAUCUGUUGAGCAAUACUAAAAAAGUUGUGCAUCAGAACAAAAUCAGCACAGAGUGGACGGAGGUCUGGAAGAGAAGAGCCGGGGUCAGGAGCGAUCAGUUGACUGUCAGAGAUGGAAACCUGACCAUUAAUGCGUCAACAGUCACUGAUGCAGGGACAUACAGAGUUCUGGACUUUGAUGAUGAAAUCUUGAUCACAGUGACAGUCACAGGAUCCGGUACAGACUCAAAGGGAAACCAAACAGAUGAUGACAAAACUGAUGACACUAAACAAGUUUGUAAGUAAAACAGGAGACAGUAAUAAGGGAUUCAUUUUCUUCUAAAGGUUUUGUGGUCACUGAUCAAAAAACAAUAGGUGUGAAUCAAAACUUUAAACACAUUUAAAAUUAUAUUUCACAAAACCAGGUGUGUGAAGUAACAAAUUACAAAUACUGCUGUUACUGUAAUUGAAGCUGCAGUCCAUAAAAUUUUUUGGUUAAAAUUAUUUAAAAUAGAUUUUGGGUCAAAUACAUAACCAGCCACUGUUCAGUCUUCAGUCUUCUUAUUUUAGCCCGCGAUUCACAACAGUAAGCUUGUAAUAAUGUUUUCUAAUUUGAGUGGUACAGGUAGAUUUUUGUGGGAAAUUGAAACUUGAAGUUGAAAUUGGCUGAAACUGGGUUAUGUUCCAGUUUUAAAUGUGCAUCUGAUUACAGAUAGCAUAUGCGGGAUUACACAAGAUUUGUAUUUUAAAGAGAACCAGUUCUAAGGAACAACAUUUUGAUUUUAGUGUUAAACGAUUUCUUUAUAUAAAAUUCGAAUGGUAUGACAAUUAGAGAUUAGACUGUACAGAAAUUGAAAUCUACAUGCUAGUACACACUACACACAUGUAGUCAUGCAAUAACAAUUUGAGAACAUUAAUAAUAAUAAUAAUUUGCACGGUUUGAUGCGAUGCUUUUUUCCAAAGUUGGUCAGAACAUAAGCGGCAGACUUAUUACUUGUUCAGAUGACAAUAUCCGGUGAAAAUUCAUAUUUGGGUAAAAUAUUCCAAGAUGUAAGCUACAAUCUGUGAUUCCAAAGUAAAUUAUCCACUCAUGUGCGGUGACUGACAGCCACACAUUCACCUCAAAACAUUAGAUUCAUUCGCACUGGAGCCGAGCCGAUGCACAACCCUCGCAAAGAUGAUAAUUCUGCAAAUAACUGCAAUUGCAGGUUUCAACACAGAGAGGGUGACAAAGAGCAAAACUUACCGACUGCAGCUUUAAGUAGAUUUUAUUAGAAAAUGU